AUUGAACGCUGGCGGCAGGCCUAACACAUGCAAGUCGAACGAGUGGCGGACGGGUGAGUAAUGUCUGGGAAACUGCCUGAUGGAGGGGGAUAACUACUGGCAACGGUAGCUAAUACCGCAUACCAUCAGCUGGUCCCAGAUGGGAUUAGCUAGGUGGUGGUGUAACGGCUCACCAAGGCGACGAUCCCUAGCUGGUCUGAGAGGAGGACCAGCCACACUGGAACGGAGACCCGGUCCAGACUCCUACGUGAGGCAGCAGGGGGGAAGAUUGCACAAUGGGCGCAAGCCUGAUGCAGCCAUGCCGCGUGUAUGAAGAAGGCCUUCGGGGUGUAAAGUACUUUCAGCGGGGAGGCGUUACCCGAAGAAGAAGCACCGGCUAACUCCGUGCCAGCAGCCGCGGUAAUAC
rnacentral:rRNA from 1 species